AUUGAACGCUGGCGGCAAGCCUAACACAUGCAAGUCGAACGAGUGGCGGACGGGUGAGUAAUGUCUGGGAAACUGCCUGAUGGAGGGGGAUAACUACUGGAAACGGUAGCUAAUACCGCAUACCAUCGGAUGUGCCCAGAUGGGAUUAGCUAGUAGGUGGGGUAAAGGCUAACCUAGGCCACGAUGCCUAGCUGGUCUGAGAAGGUGACCUGCCGCACUGGGACUGCGACACGGUCCAGACUCCUACGGGAGGCAGCAGUGGGAAAUAUUGGACAAUGGACGAAAGUCGGAUGCAGCCAUGCCGCGUGUAUGAAGAAGGCAUUCGGGUAGUAAAGUACUUUCAUUGGGGAAGCGUUACCUGUAGAAGAAGCACCGGCUAACUCCGUGCCAGCAGCCGCGGUAAUAC
rnacentral:rRNA from 1 species